UGCUCCGGUGCCAGGGGCGCUCUUCCCAAAGAACUACAAGGGUGAAAGAACCCCCACCAAGCCCCACCCCUCCCGCCCGCGGCACACAGUCACCCGCCCGAGUGAACGUCACCAACUCGGCUGGAUUCCAAGCUGGUUGCCUGUCCUACGCUCAGCGCAACAACCGCAGACAUGCGACGGCCCCCGCCGGGACGCCAAUCCCAGUGCGAGGGCCUGACCACCGAGGAAGUUAGGGCUUCCUG
rnacentral:ncRNA from 22 species